rnacentral:rRNA from 1 species
ACCAGACUCCUACGGGAGGCAGCAGUGGGGAAUAUUGCACAAUGGGGGGAACCCUGAUGCAGCGACGCCGCGUGGGUGAAGAAGCGCCUCGGCGCGUAAAGCCCUGUCAGCAGGGAAGAAAAUGACGGUACCUGAAGAAGAAGCCCCGGCUAACUACGUGCCAGCAGCCGCGGUAAUACGUAGGGGGCAAGCGUUAUCCGGAUUUACUGGGUGUAAAGGGGGCGCAGACGGCGAUGCAAGCCAGGAGUGAAAGCCCGGGGCCCAACCCCGGGACUGCUCUUGGAACUGCGUGGCUGGAGUGCAGGAGGGGCAGGCGGAAUUCCUGGUGUAGCGGUGAAAUGCGUAGAUAUCAGGAGGAACACCGGUGGCGAAGGCGGCCUGCUGGACUGCAACUGACGUUGAGGCCCGAAAGCGUGGGGAGCAAACAGGAUUAGAUACCCUCGUAC